AUAGUUAUUAUAAUAAUGACAACUUUACUACUACUACUACUGCUAGAAUUAGUAAUAACAAUUAUCCCAAUGGUAACACAAAUAGUAAUGAUAACAAUAAUAUCAGCAAUAGUACUACUGGUAAGAAUAAUAAAAGACUUUUUAUUAGUGCGACAACGCCAAUGCUGCAUAAAAAUAAUGAUACAAUGCCUAGUAUGUUUAAUCAGAUUGAUCACGAUCAUGUUAAUGUUAAUGGUUAUGUGUUACAAAAUCGUGUAAACUGUAUGGAUGCAAAUGAGAGUAGGGGAAAUUAUGUUGGUACGACUUGUGCUGAUACACUACGUAACAAACCAUAUGCGGGGAUAUCAAAUUACGCUUCACAAAUUACACCAUUUUUAAUGAAUAAUAACUUGCAACCGAGUGAAAGUGUUCCAAAUAUUGUUCCUAUCUGUCAUAAAAAUAAAAAAAUAAAUGAUAAUUCUAGCAUGAAUAUGGGAAUGAACAAUACGAAUGUACAAAAUAGCUUAGAAGGAAAAACCUAUCACUCGGUUGACAACAUUAGGAUUGGCAAUAACAAUAUAAAUGGAUAUAAGAAUAUAAAUGCAAACGAUAGGUAUAGCAUUGUAGAUGUUUUAGGUAAUAAUGAUAAUGUUGGCACUUAUAAGGGAAAUAUAAAUGAAAGCAUUUUAGGUAAUACAUGCAGUAAUAUAAAAAGUAGCAUACACGGCAAUGUAAAUAACAACACAAACGGAAGCAUCUUAGGUAAUACUACAAGUGGAAAUAUAAACAGAGACACGUACGGUAACAAACGCAAUACAAAUAUAUAUAGGAACACCUUUAGUUUUGAUUCAUUCAUUGCAGCACAAAUUAAUAACACAGGGAAUUUACAUAGUAAUACACUACAUAACAAUGCUUUUCAACACAUUAUAAGGCCAAAAGAAAAAAGAGAUCACAACAAUAUGAAUGAAUAUAUUUCCCAGAUUACAAAUACAAAUAUGAAUAAAGAACUAAACGAUUUAUAUUACAAAACUGACAUGA
rnacentral:lncRNA from 1 species